rnacentral:rRNA from 1 species
GUGCUAUACAUGCAAGUCGAGCGAGCAGAACCAGCAGAUUUACUUCGGUAAUGACGCUGGGGACGCGAGCGGCGGAUGGGUGAGUAACACGUGGGGAACCUGCCCCAUAGUCUGGGAUACCACUUGGAAACAGGUGCUAAUACCGGAUAAGAAAGCAGAUCGCAUGAUCAGCUUAUAAAAGGCGGCGUAAGCUGUCGCUAUGGGAUGGCCCCGCGGUGCAUUAGCUAGUUGGUAAGGUAACGGCUUACCAAGGCAAUGAUGCAUAGCCGAGUUGAGAGACUGAUCGGCCACAUUGGGACUGAGACACGGCCCAAACUCCUACGGGAGGCAGCAGUAGGGAAUCUUCCACAAUGGACGCAAGUCUGAUGGAGCAACGCCGCGUGAGUGAAGAAGGUUUUCGGAUCGUAAAGCUCUGUUGUUGGUGAAGAAGGAUAGAGGUAGUAACUGGCCUUUAUUUGACGGUAAUCAACCAGAAAGUCACGGCUAACUACGUGCCAGCAGCCGCGGUAAUACGUAGGUGGCAAGCGUUGUCCGGAUUUAUUGGGCGUAAAGCGAGCGCAGGCGGAAGAAUAAGUCUGAUGUGAAAGCCCUCGGCUUAACCGAGGAACUGCAUCGGAAACUGUUUUUCUUGAGUGCAGAAGAGGAGAGUGGAACUCCAUGUGUAGCGGUGGAAUGCGUAGAUAUAUGGAAGAACACCAGUGGCGAAGGCGACUCUCUGGUCUGCAACUGACGCUGAGGCUCGAAAGCAUGGGUAGCGAACAGGAUUAGAUACCCUGGUAGUCCAUGCCGUAAACGAUGAGUGCUAAGUGUUGGGAGGUUUCCGCCUCUCAGUGCUGCAGCUAACGCAUUAAGCACUCCGCCUGGGGAGUACGACCGCAAGGUUGAAACUCAAAGGAAUUGACGGGGGCCCGCACAAGCGGUGGAGCAUGUGGUUUAAUUCGAAGCAACGCGAAGAACCUUACCAGGUCUUGACAUCUAGUGCCAUCCUAAGAGAUUAGGAG